ACUAAAUAGAUACCCUGGUAGUCCACGCCCUAAACGAUGUCUACUAGUUGUUGGUGGAGUAAAAUCCAUGAGUAAACGCAGCUAAACGCGUGAAGUAGACCGCCUGGGGAGUACGGUCGCAAGAUUAAAACUCAAAGGAAUUGACGGGGGCCCGCACAAGCGGUGGAUUAUGUGGAUUAAAUUCGAUGCAACGCGAAAAACCUUACCUGGCCUUGACAUGCCACUAACGAAGCAGAGAUGCAUUAGGUGCCCGUAAGGGAAAGUGGACACAGGUGCUGCAUGGCUGUCGUCAGCCCGUGUCGUGAGAUGUUGGGUUAAGUCCCGCAACGAGCGCAACCCUUGCCAUUAAUUGCCAUCAUUUAGUUGGGCACUUUAAUGGGACUGCCGGUGACAAACCGGAGGAAGUGGGGAUGACGUCAAGUCCUCAUGGCCCUUAUGGCCAGGGCUUCACACGUAAUACAAUGGUCGGUACAGAGAGUUGCCAACCCGCAGGGGAGCUAAUCUCAGAAAGCCGAUCGUAGUCCGGAUUGUUCU
rnacentral:rRNA from 1 species